GACGAACGCUGGCGGCGUGCUUAACACAUGCAAGUCGAGCGGUAAGGCCCUUUCGGGGGUACACGAGCGGCGAACGGGUGAGUAACACGUGGGUGACCUGCCCUCAGCUCUGGGAUAAGCCUGGGAAACCGGGUCUAAUACCGGAUAUGACUCCACGGCGCAUGUUGUGGGGUGGAAAGCCUUGUGUGGCUAGAGAUGGGCCCGCGGCCUAUCAGCUUGUUGGUGGGGUGANGGCCUACCAAGGCGACGACGGGUAGCCGGCCUGAGAGGCGACCGGCCACACUGGGACUGAGACACGGCCCAGACUCCUACGGGAGGCAGCAGGUGGGGAAUCUUGCGCAAGUGGGCGAAAGCCUGACGCAGCGACGCUGCGUGAGGGAUGACGGCCU
rnacentral:rRNA from 1 species